AUUCAACUGACGAAUCCCAAAUAGGAUGAAAUACGCAUCCUGAAU
rnacentral:hammerhead_ribozyme from 1 species